UGAUGAACUGCGAUAGAAAAUUGAAUGGUUGUACUCUCAUAUUCCUAACUUGUCCAUUCCUUCUGAAACUGAGGGAAUGUUUUCCACAUUAUUAUUACUUUGCAUCAUUGUUGUCAUCAUCCUUAGUAUUGUUACUAUUCCUAUUGUUAUUUGUUAUUUGUGAUGUCAUUGUAAUAAUUGUUAUCGUUGUUAAUAUUUAUUUAUUAUUAUUAGUAGUAUUAUUAUCAUGAUCAUCUUUGUCAUCGCCGUUGUCACCAUUAUUUUUUCUCAUCCUAUGUUCUCUUGAUUUGUUGACUAUCAUCUGCAGGCUAUGGAUCAAGCUUCAGAGAAAGGUCUAAUUUUCAUUGAUGGAUCUGGACCCACAUAUGCUACUGCCACAGUAAGAAUAUAUCUCUUACGCAGCAGGCAAACCAAUGUUGGCCAAACAAAAAUUCGAGAACAGGGCAUAGUAUGCACAUAACAAAGCUCAAGAAGGUGAGUCGUUGGUGAGGAGGAGUACGAGAGUGAGAAAUAAGGCUUGCGAAUUCAAGAACGAUCAGGAUAAUGAUUGCAAAGGGAAACAAAGAAGAAUAACAAAGAAAAAAUAAGAAUAUUUUGGAAAUAAUGAGUGAAGCUUACUAGAAGGUGGUCAAAUUUAUAGAUGUUUUUUUAGGUGUAUUAAAUUUCUUUUGUUUUGUAGUUAUGGUAAUAUUUCAUAGUUUAUUAUCAAUGUAGAUUGUAGACUAUAAUUAAUCUCCUAA